rnacentral:rRNA from 1 species
UACGUAGGGUGCGAGCGUUGUCCGGAAUUAUUGGGCGUAAAGCGUGCGCAGGCGGUUUUGUAAGUCUGUUGUGAAAUCCCCGGGCUCAACCUGGGAAUGGCAAUGGAGACUGCAAGGCUAGAGUUUGGCAGAGGGGGGUAGAAUUCCACGUGUAGCAGUGAAAUGCGUAGAUAUGUGGAGGAACACCGAUGGCGAAGGCAGCCCCCCUGGGUCAAAAACUGACGCUCAUGCACGAAAGCGUGGGGAGCAAACAGG